rnacentral:rRNA from 1 species
AGCCUGAUCCAGCCAUGCCGCGUGCAGGAUGACGGUCCUAUGGAUUGUAAACUGCUUUUGUACGAGAAGAAACACUCCAACGUGUUGGAGCUUGACGGUAUCGUAAGAAUAAGGAUCGGCUAACUCCGUGCCAGCAGCCGCGGUAAUACGGAGGAUCCGAGCGUUAUCCGGAAUCAUUGGGUUUAAAGGGUCCGUAGGCGGUUUAGUAAGUCAGUGGUGAAAGCCCAUCGCUCAACGGUGGAACGGCCAUUGAUACUGCUAAACUUGAAUUAUUAGGAAGUAACUAGAAUAUGUAGUGUAGCGGUGAAAUGCUUAGAGAUUACAUGGAAUACCAAUUGCGAACGCAGGUUACUACUAAUGGAUUGACGCUGAUGGACGAAAGCGUGGGUAGCGAACAGGAUUAUAUACCCUGGUAGUCCACGCCGUAAACCAUGGAUACUAGCUGUUGGGAGCAAUCUCAGUGGCUAAUCGAAAGUGAUAAGUAUCCCACCUGGGGAGUACGUUCGCAAGAAUGAAACUCAAAGGAAUUGACGGGGGCCCGCACAAGCGGUGGAGCAUGUGGUUUAAUUCCAUGAUACGCGAGGAACCUUACCAAGGCUUAAAUGU